AUACCAUAAUUCAAUUCAUGAACAUUUAAAGUAAUCAUAUACUUACUGAGGAUUGUCAUAGCCAACCCAUUGAUUAUCGCUAUAUGCAUAAGGUUCACGAGUGUAUUCUCCUGCCAUUCCUGGUCCAGUAGUUGGGGCUCCAACCUUAUUAUUUUGAGCGUUUUGAAGAGAAAAAGAUCUACCGUAGAAAGGUACGCCGACAAUCAAUUUUUCAGGAGGGGCACCUUGAUCUAGCCAAUAUUGUACUGCUGCAUCCUAAAAUGAAUAAUUAUUGAUCUCUCUUCCGGGCAAGUAAAUAUUACAUGCAAAUAAAUAAUGAUUAACUUACA
rnacentral:lncRNA from 1 species